rnacentral:rRNA from 1 species
GAUGAACGCUGGCGGCGUGCUUAACACAUGCAAGUCGAACGAUGAAGCCCAGCUUGCUGGGUGGAUUAGUGGCGAACGGGUGAGUAACACGUGAGUAACCUGCCCUUGACUCUGGGAUAAGCCUGGGAAACUGGGUCUAAUACUGGAUAUGACUUCUCAUCGCAUGGUGGGGGGUGGAAAGAUUUAUUGGUCUUGGAUGGACUCGCGGCCUAUCAGCUUGUUGGUGAGGUAAUGGCUCACCAAGGCGACGACGGGUAGCCGGCCUGAGAGGGUGACCGGCCACACUGGGUCUGAGACACGGCCCAGACUCCUACGGGAGGCAGCAGUGGGGAAUAUUGCACAAUGGGCGCAAGCCUGAUGCAGCGACGCCGCGUGAGGGAUGACGGCCUUCGGGUUGUAAACCUCUUUCAGUAGGGAAGAAGCGAGAGUGACGGUACCUGCAGAAGAAGCGCCGGCUAACUACGUG